rnacentral:rRNA from 1 species
AAUUGGAGGGCAAGUCUGGUGCCAGCAGCCGCGGUAAUUCCAGCUCCAAUAGCGUAUAUUAAAGUUGUUGCAGUUAAAAAGCUCGUAGUUGAAUUUCGGGAUCAAUAUUUCGGUCAUGCCGUUGGUAUGCACUGUUAUCAUUGAUUUCUCACCUUCUAAAGAACCGUAAUACCAUUAAUUUGGUGUUACGGGGAAUUAGGACUGUUACCUUGAAAAAAUUAGAGUGUUUAAAGCAGGCUCACGCUUGAAUACAUUAGCAUGGAAUAAUGAAAUAGGACAUCCGAUUCUAUUUUGUUGGUUUCUAGGAUCGAUGUAAUGAUUAAUAGGGAUAGUUGGGGGCAUUAGUAUUCAAUUGUCAGAGGUGAAAUUCUUGGAUUUAUUGAAGACUAACUACUGCGAAAGCAUUUGCCAAGGAUGUUUUCAUUAAUCAAGAACGAAAGUUAGGGGAUCGAAGACGAUCAGAUACCGUCGUAGUCUUAACCAUAAACUAUGCCGACUAGGGAUCGGAUGAUGUUAAUUUUUUAAUGACUCAUUCGGCGCCUUACGGGAAACCAAAGUGU